rnacentral:rRNA from 1 species
AGUGAACGCUGGCGGUAGGCCUAACACAUGUAAGUCGAACGGCAGCACAGGAGAGCUUGCUCUCUGGGUGGCGAGUGGCGGACGGGUGAGGAAUACAUCGGAAUCUACUCUGUCGUGGGGGAUAACGUAGGGAAACUUACGCUAAUACCGCAUACGACCUACGGGUGAAAGCAGGGGACCUUCGGGCCUUGCGGCAUUGAAUGAGCCGAUGUCGGAUGAGCUAGUCGGCGGGGUAAAGGCCCACCAAGGCGACGAUCCGUAGCUGGUCUGAGAGGAUGAUCAGCCACACUGGAACUGAGACACGGUCCAGACUCCUACGGGAGGCAGCAGUGGGGAAUAUUGGACAAUGGGCGCAAGCCUGAUCCAGCCAUACCGCGUGGGUGAAGAAGGCCUUCGGGUUGUAAAGCCCUUUUGUUGGGAAAGAAAUCCAGCUGGCUAAUACCCGGUUGGGAUGACGGUACCCAAAGAAUAAGCACCGGCUAACUUCGUGCCAGCAGCCGCCGUAA